GACUUCCAUAAUGGAUUUUAUUCAAUUUCCAAGGUACGACUGUGUAGAACAGGAGGCAUAAUGUGAUCCACACACACAAGCAGGUCACUUGGGGGCAACAUAGAUGCUCAUUUAAUCAACAAACCCUUGGUAUAGUUCUUUGUCUGUCUGUGAAGGGAAGCGUUUUGGAGAUGAGUGCUCAGAGGUGUGUGACUCUUCUAAUGCUUUCUGAAAAUGAAGUGGGAUGUUCUAAAUCAAAUACAGGUGUUUAUCUUGAGACGUGUCAAACUUAUUUAAUGUUAGAUAACAGACUUCCCAUGGUAAAUUGUCAGUAGGGUGGUGGUGGUGGUGAGAAAAAUAUUUUUAGAGUCCGUAUUGAACGAAGAGCCCCCUUGGCUUUCAAAUGAAAUCAUCCGGGCUUGGUAAUCAAAUCAUGUUUCCAGCAUCCGAUUCCUCUCCCCAAACAGUCAAGCGUGACCUUGGUUGCUUAUAAAUGCCCACCACUUCAUAGGGGGCCCUGGAUGACAGUUUUAUUAGCAUAUGGCAGAUUUGAUUUCCAUUUUGGUGUGUGGCGUAUUCCAAACCCAAGACACCUGAGCACAUCCAGCAACCUGUCUCCUGUUGUUACAGUUCCACAACUGCAUUCUGAAAGCAGAUAAGUUGGGACGCACAAGCAUAGUGUUACUGGCCACCCAGAUUCCAGGGGUCUUGGCAUUUAACCAGGGUUGUGCUUCUGUUGGGAAAUCAAAGCACAGCGGAGACGAGUGUCUUUAAGAAAUAUAGUUUAUUUUACAUAUUUACACGUGAGCCUUGGUAUGAAGGAGGUGCAGCACAUCACACCCCAAGAGUGUCUCUUGUUGCUCCUCUCCUAGUUCCAGUCAAGCUUGGAUCCAAAGCACCAGCCAAUCAUGACCCCCCAGCCUCUCUGUGCAGCCUCUCCAAGCCAGGGUGCAUAGAGUUCCACCCACUUCCUGCUUUUUCUUCCCAGCAUCCUUUGCAGAAAGCAACUCCUCCCCUUCCGCUUCCAGCAUCUCCCCUGUCCCCCCUGGCAACCUACGUUUCAAAACUCUCCUGCAAAAAGCACUUUUUUUCCUGUGGUGACAUAAUGCCUCCUUGUUACCAUGGCAGCCUCCUCCUUCCUUGUAUGAUGCUGAAUGUCUCCCUUUUUCAGGGGAAUGAUUCUGUCACCACCUGCUGUUGUUAUCUGAUGCCAACCCUCAGGCACACUGGCUUGCCCCCGUGAUUGAGGGGGCCUGCGCCACAUGACGUGCUCACGUCAUGCCCUUCAGGAGUAAACCCCAAGGAAAAAUCCAUACCCACUGCCUUGCAAUACAUCUUUGGAAGAAGAAAGAAUUAAGUAGUAAAUUACACAAAACCGGAGUGGAGUCCCUAAUACGGUUGGACAGCAUCUUGUAUACCUCCUUCUGGCAACUCCUGCAGCCAAGCUGGUACCAAAUAUAUUGCUCUGCUUUCCUUUGGACCACAUCAGCAAGGCUCUUGUUCAUGGGUUGGCAAACUAAGGCCCGGGGGCUGGAUCAGGCCCAAUUGCCUUCUGGAUCUGGCCUGCGGACUGUCCAGGAAUUGCUGUGUGGAUUGCCAGCUCGCACGUUCUUUCCCUCUCCCCCCCCCUCACACGGCACCGGCGCCUCCUUCCUCCCUCCUCCUGGCUUCUCCUGCCCUGCCUAGAGGAGGAAGGGGACUGGGCUUUGUUGGUGCCAGGAGCAGCAGCAGAGUUUGAGUGGCCGCCAUUUUAAGCAGCCCCUUUCCAGAGCCCUUUCGCGUGCCGCUCAUCAUCCCUCCACCACCUCCAGCCCCUGCUGCUCGCAAGACACAGUUAAGCAGCCACUGGGGUUCGUGGUGCUCUUGCAUCAUUUAUUUAUUUUUUAAAAAUAUAGUCCGGCCCCCCACAAGGUCUGAGGGACAGUGGACCGGCCCCCUAAUGAAAAGGUUUGCUGACCCCUGCUCUUGUUGUCUGGGCAGCCCAGCACCUCCAUACACACUGCUAAGGCUUGUGCCCCAGAGAAGUCACUUUGGUGCUGCUAAUGCAGCAAAAACAACAUGGGAGGCAACAGUUAUGAGUUACAAGUCUCUACAGCCACAGCAGGUGCUGUGAUUCUUCAGUGGUUUGACUUAACCCCCAGAGGUACACUUCAUUGUCUCUCAAAACAGACAGAUGCCAACAACAACAAGAACCUUUUAUCUACAUAUCACAUUUUCAGGCGUGCAAAUUCUCUGCCCCUUUACCUUGGUUUGUGGUUUUUUUUGAAAGAAACAUGAAAAACCUACUACUGCCACAGAUAAUUUCCCCAACUCAUUAUAUAAUUUCAACUAUGACCUGACUAUUCUACGUAAUUCCAGUCACAUCACCGAGCGAUUACAUUUGUUCUUUAGAUCUUGAACUUUUGGGUCACACGUCUGUUCUGAAAAAGAGCUGAGCAGAACUUGUUGCCUUAAGAUGAAGCAGCUGUAAGAUUUCUCCCUUACCUGUAUUGCAGUGCGUCUGAGGAUGAUUCUUCUUCUUAAAAGAAGAAAAUAAAAAGAGGGGAAAGCUAUUAAGAGAAAGUGCAAUUUUUGUAAAAUGUGUUCGCUGGUGAUAUGCAAAUUUAUGAAGAUAAAAUGUGCAUGGUAUGCAAAUGAAGCCCCUUGCAUUAUAGAAUCCUGGCUUUGGAAAGCCUACCUGGAUGACACCUUUGGUUUGCUAAUGAGUCAUCCCUUUUGUUCGUCUGUUUUGCAGAGCGGGCCUCUUUGCAAUGGGGUGCACCUCUCAUAAAUGCUGCAUUGAGGAAGGACAGUGAGGAAGCCUUCUUCGAAAACAUCCAGCGAUGCUUUGUGACUUCUCGCUCUGGUUGCCAGAUAAUUUUUAACUAGGUGGAGGAUUGUUGAAACUGAGCAAAGGUUGAUGUACCAGCAACAUCUCCUGUGCCUGCUGAUUAGCUCCGUGAAGGAUCUCGUUAUCCCUUCCCCUCCCAGUGCCAACAUGCAUGGCAGAAGCCUUGACAGGGAUGUCGCCUUGCACAAUCAACUCCUCCCUCCCAUUUAUCUGUGUCUCAGCUCACAGGGAGGAAUAAAAGGGGUGGAGGAAGAGAGAGAAUCGUCCAAAGCUUCAUAAUGAAGAGGAGAAAAAUAGAAGAAUACCUGGCUUCUGUUUGAGAACUGCAGGAGAAGGCAGCAUCGAAAGUAGACUCUAGCCUGGCCUUCACCAACGCUGGUGCUCUGCCACGUACUGGCUUGGGCUCAUGGGAUUCUGGAUAAAUUUAAUUCAGUUUGCACUUCAAGGCAAACCAACCAAGGUCACACUUUCUGAAAUGAUAUGCAGGCAGAAAGAGGUAUUUUCCAUGAUCUGCUAUCAGAGCAGAUACUCCAAUGCUAAGUAGUGGUCCCUCCCCACAAUCCAUGCUGACUGAGAAUGGCAGCCAUGGGAAGUCCCUUGUGGGAUCCUUAGGUCACCAGUGGCCUAUCCCAUUUUCCUGGAAUGUGUGGCUUAACAGAUAAUGGAUUGAGUCAGGCAAGCUACUUGAAGCAAUCCUUGAUCCCAAACUUUCUAUAGCCAACGUUGUACUGCCCAGAUGGUGUUGGAAUCCAACUUCCAUCAUCCCUGGCUAGGGGGGAGAAUUUUUUUCAGUUUACAUUUUUUUCAGAACAAUAGGCAAGCUGAAACACCAGCCAGCAUUUGAACAAUCACACAUCUCAGAAUUUUGGAAUACAGUUCUCUAGCCAAGUAAUGCAUGCAUAAAAGUGCGUAUAUAAAUGCGUGUAUUAGUCAAAAUAACUCCAAAGAUGCAUUGUAUUAGGGGGGGAAAUGCUUUAAAAAUGUGUAUAUUGGCAAAAAAAUGCAUUGAAAAUGUGUAUAGCAAGAAAAAAAAUGCACAAAAUGCGAGCAAUUUAUCACUAUGUCUUAAAAAAUAAGAAUCACAAACUCACAUAGAAAUGGGGAGGAAUCAGCUUAAGACUGGAAGAACGGAUAAACUAAGAGAAACUGAAAUUGACAUAUUCAGCCAUCCCUGCCCCUGCAUAUUGGGCAUGUCAGUAGGGCCUGGUGGCAUCUGAAGUCCUUCAACAACAUCUGGAGAGCACCAUAUUGGCUACCCCUGUUACGGAGUACAGUGGAAUUCCCUGAGCUGACCCUCUCUCUGCUUUUGGCAAGCCCCAAAGUUCAUUUGGCUGGCUCUUUCUCUUUUUCCAAUUAAAUGGACUGGCAGCCGUCCAGCAAACAUUCCAUCAGGGGAGGCGGGGGGAGGAAGGAAAAUACUUAGUAGCAAAGAGGCUAUGAUUUCAACACACCAACCCAAGCGAUUGCCAGCUGGGACGGAAUUUUUAGCUUAAAAACUCUCAAAAUCCAAACGUGCACAGAAGCCCCACUCCAUGGAAAUGGGCAG